rnacentral:snoRNA from 1 species
GGCAAUGAUGAAAAGAGGGUUAGCUGAACUGUGAUGAUACUUACCCGAACUGAGC